UAUCGAACAUGUGUAUUUUAAAUGGAAAGUGCAGUUGAUGUCAAUUCUGCCGACUGCGAAAAGAAAUUCUGCUAGAAUUUUUCGCGCCUUUGGCAGUUUUCUGCAUUUUUUAUUUGCAAAAAAAAUCUGUUGUUGUGUGUGUGUGUGCAAAAAUCUAAAAUGACAGAAAUGAUAUUCUUUAAAUAAAAAAAAUAACUUUUUACUAACAAUUGAAAUUAAUAAGAUUGUAUGCUAUACUACUAUACCGAGGGUCAUUGUGCAAAGAAAUAGCGGAGUUUGUUUUCGUUUAAUACCCAAAAGUGUUUAUUGAAAUCUAGAUUUGGCAUAUUUGUGAGAUCUAGAAGAUUAAAAAUAAAGAGGAGGCAUCAUGAUGGUCUCCUGGAAGAAUGCCCACAAGAGAGUGGCAAUUGUAUACCUCCCUAGUCACCUAGGCGGGUGGUGGUCGGUCGGCUAGUGGUGACAUGGUAUAUUAUCACCUAGAGGCAAUGGACGGAAGCAGAUUGCCGUAUUCACGGGGUAUCCUUGGGGUACAUACUUAUUAUUAUACCAUUGAUCUCAGUAGAAUCACUACCAUACACCCAGUGGAGCUCUUGUUGUCUCCAAACACUAUGGUGGCCGAAUAUUUACAAGAAACGAUUGUUAAGCCGCCUUUUAUACAAAUUUCCAGCUUUGUAGAGAAUGUCUUCACGGACCUAGAGGAUAUAACCUG